rnacentral:lncRNA from 1 species
UUCACAACACCAAACAACUCUCCUCUCUCCCUCUAGAAAGCUCACGGCCAAACAUCCCUAAUCACCCAUCAAUUUUUCGAGCCUUGUUCAAGCCAUUCCAAGCAUACCCAAGCAUCAAGGAUCACGUAUUAGGAGGCUUGGUGCACUCGGAGCACGAAGGACCUUUUUCUCUAGCUUUUAUCCACCACAUUCGCGUCUAGAUUCUUCCCUAGCCUCGAGCUAGUGGUUACGACGUUAAAUAAGCAAACCCGGUGAAGUUUACGACGCACAGGAACGCAAAGUUGUAACUAGGAUGGAUGUGCGCGUGGUCUCUCUUAUGCUCGUGGAUGUCGCUUGUGUUUGUCUUUAAAUAAAGUGUAAACCUUUUAAGACAAUGUUUUAUGUUAACUCGCAUUGUAAACGCUAACUUAUGAUUUCAAGUUAUGGUAUUUGAAGUUAUUUUCAUGAGCAUGUAGUAUGUUUACCUUUCGUAUGCAAUGAGAACCUUUCAUGAUCACACCUCGUGCUUCCGCCGCAGAGCAGAGUCUAAGGGGGAGUCUGAAGACAAGCUGGAAGUUAGGAGGAGCUUGUAGCUGGAAAGCUAGGUGUCGAUCCCUAAAAGACGGAAGCUUGACGAAAGGGGGAGCCUUAUGAUGAAGCUGUUGAUGAUAGAGCCAGUGAUGAGAUUAUAGUUUAAAAGUCAAAGAGAGAAGUUGAUCAAAGAGAAAGGUUGAAGGAUGCUUUCAAUGUUAUAAUCUGAGUGAGAAUGCAGAAUGAUCAAGACUGAAGAAGUGUCAUGAUAAAGAUUAGUCACUGAAGACUUCGUCAAUAUCCGAGGGGGAGUCUGUUAGUGCAUUACGUCUAUUGACUCCGUCUUGUAUCAUGUAAUAGGAUAGGUUAGGAUAAUCAGUGCACGAGGUUCGAGAAACAGAUGUUAGUAAAUUAGAGGUUGAUUUCGCCUGAAAUGGACCAAGGACAUUUGGAGCGAAAUCAGAACCUUCUGAUUUCACCCGAAAUGUCAGUGGUACAUUUGGAGCGAAAUCUGUCUUGUAUAAAUAGUGCAUAUGCUCAUUUCAUUUGGCACGGAAUUAGGAUUGUGUAACGAAGUGCUGCCAAACUGUUCUCAGGUUGUAAUCAGUGUUAAAUCAAUACAAGAGGCAUUAUAAUUAGUUUGAGCGUCCGUUUCAUUGAUUCCGCCUUUGAUUCGGAUAAAAGACUCUUCUGAUUGACUCAUUCGGGUCCAACAACGAUUCUACAAAGGAAAAAGAGCAAGAAAUGAAAAUGGAGAAACAAAUCCAGAAAGACAUGGAUUUUCUCGCGAAAGAUUUUUCAAAUAUAGCGGAGGAGGACCGAGUCAUUUUGAAAGCUCGUAACGCACAAAUUCAGGCGAAAUAUAUGUAGUUUUUUAUUUUCUAGUACCGUAUGUUUUCUUUAAUGACUUUGUAA